rnacentral:rRNA from 1 species
AUUGAACGCUGGCGGCAGGCUUAACACAUGCAAGUCGAGCGGGGUGAUGGUGCUUGCACUAUCACUUAGCGGCGGACGGGUGAGUAAUGCUUAGGAAUCUGCCUAUUAGUGGGGGACAACAUCUCGAAAGGGAUGCUAAUACCGCAUACGUCCUACGGGAGAAAGCAGGGGAUCACUUGUGACCUUGUGCUAAUAGAUGAGCCUAAGUCGGAUUAGCUAGUUGGUGGGGUAAAGGCCUACCAAGGCGACGAUCUGUAGCGGGUCUGAGAGGAUGAUCCGCCACACUGGGACUGAGACACCGCCCAGACUCCUACGGGAGGCAGCAGUGGGGAAUAUUGGACAAUGGGGGGAACCCUGAUCCAGCCAUGCCGCGUGUGUGAAGAAGGCCUUAUGGUUGUAAAGCACUUUAAGCGAGGAGGAGGCUUACCUAGUUAAUACCUGGGAUAAGUGGACGUUACUCGCAGAAUAAGCACCGGCUAACUCUGUGCCAGCCGCCGCCGUAA